AAGUCGUAGCAAGGUUUCUGUAGGUGAACCUGCUGAUGGAUCAUUAUGAAUUGAGCGAGCGACCGAGUGAGCGAAGCGAGCGCGGUCGUGAGUCUGUCUACCUGUGAAUUACCAUGUUUGGGUGAAAGACUCGAGCACCGAGACCGCAGGUCGAGGUGCGAGAGGAUGCUAUCUGAUUUAUCUGAGAUCAUCCACCCGCUUUACCACAAUAUCCGUCUGACUAUAACAAAAGUAAAAA
rnacentral:misc_RNA from 1 species